UCCCAUCAGCUAGUUGGUAGGGAAAUGGCCUACCAAGGCGAUGACGGGUAGGGGACCUGAGAGGGUGGCCCCCCACAAUGGAACUGAAACACGGUCCAUACACCUACGGGUGGCAGCAGUAGGGAAUAUUGGUUAAUCUGGGAAACCGGGAACCAGCAACGCCGCGUGCGCGAUGAAGGCCUUCGGGUUGUAAAGCGCUUUUAGAGAGGAUGAGGAAGGACAGUACUCUCUGAAUAAGCCUCGGCUAACUACGUG
rnacentral:rRNA from 1 species